rnacentral:rRNA from 1 species
GAUGAACGCUGGCGGCAUGCCUAAUACAUGCAAGUCGAGCGAACAGACCAGGAGCUUGCUCCUCUGACGUUAGCGGCGGACGGGAGAGUCACACGUGGAUAACCUACCUAUAAGACUGGGAUAACUUCGGGAAACCGGAGCUACUACCGGAUAAUAUAUUGAACCGCAUGGUUCAAUAGUGAAAGACGGUUUUGCUGUCACUUAUAGAUUGAUCCGCGCCGCAUUAGCUAGUUGGUAAGGUAACGGCUUACCAAGGCAACGAUGCGUAGCCGACCUGAGAGGGUGAUCGGCCACACUGGAACUGAGACACGGUCCAGACUCCUACGGGAGGCAGCAGUAGGGAAUCUUCCGCAAUGGGCGAAAGCUUGACGGAGCAACGCCGCGUGAGUGAUGAAGGUCUUCGGAUCGGAAAACUCUGUUAUUAGGGAAGAACAAAUGUGUAAUUAACUAUGCACAUCUUGACGGUACCUAAUCAGAAAGCCACGGCUAACUACGUG